rnacentral:rRNA from 1 species
AUUGAACGCUGGCGGCAUGCCUUACACAUGCAAGUCGAACGGUAACAGGUCUUCGGAUGCUGACGAGUGGCGAACGGGUGAGUAAUACAUCGGAACGUGCCUAAUAGUGGGGGAUAACUACUCGAAAGAGUGGCUAAUACCGCAUGAGAUCUACGGAUGAAAGCAGGGGAUCGCAAGACCUUGUGCUACUAGAGCGGCCGAUGGCAGAUUAGGUAGUUGGUGGGAAAAAAGCUUACCAAGCCGACGAUCUGUAGCUGGUAUGAGAGGACGAUCAGCCACACUGGGACUGGGAAACGGCCCAGACUCCUACGGGAGGCAGCAGUGGGGAAUUUUGGACAAUGGGCGCAAGCCUGAUCCAGCAAUGCCGCGUGCAGGAUGAAGGCCUUCGGGUUGCAAACUGCUUUUGUACGGAACGAAAAGCCCCGGGUUAAUACCCUGGGGUCAUGACGGUACCGUAAGAAUAAGCACCGGCUAACUACGUGCCAGCCGCCGCGGUAA